ACGGAAGGCAGCAGUGGGGGAUAUUGGACAAUGGGGGGAACCCUGAUGCAGCAACGCCACGUGUGGGAAGAAGCAUUUCGGUGUGUAAACCACUGUCGUGAGGGAAUAAUGCUUGGUCUCGGCCAAGUUGAAUGUACCUCGAAAGGAAGCACCGGCAAGCUUCGUGCCAGCAGCCGCGGUAAUACGAGGGGUGCAAGCGUUGUUCGGAAUCACUGGGCGUAAAGGGAGCGUAGGCGGAGACGCAAGCAGUCUGUACAAUACCGGGGCCCAACCCCGGACCUGCAGACUGGACUGUGCCUCUUGGAUAGUUCAGGGGCAGGCGGAAUUCCUGGUGUAGCGGUGGAAUGCGUAGAGAUCAGGAAGAACACCGAUGGCGAAGGCAGCCUGCUGGGGACUCAUCGACGCUGAGGCUCGAAAGUGCGGGUAGCAAACAGGAUUAGAACCCUGGUA
rnacentral:rRNA from 1 species